ACGGAUUAGAAGAAGAAGAAGAUUUUUUAUUUUUUGAUUUUUAACAAAACAUUUAUUAUACAAUAAUCUAACAAUACAUUACAUAAUCAGGUCAAGGAUACUAAAAACCACAAUAAAUAGUUACAAUAACAGCUGGUUAUAUUUUAGUUCUCCUUGAUUAGAAAUGGUGGACAACACAUUGUUAAAACCCCACAGUUCUAAAAAACUCUUUAAAUCCCCGGUGGCUCUGUGGAAACAAAACUCCAACUUCAACCUGGCCCUGAUGUUGACCUUCCACAGAGCCGCCACGUCGAGUCCAGUAAAUAGCCAUCUUGGCUUCGGCUAUUAAAAAAUUUAAAAGCCGGGAUUUAAAACUAGUGGAUCGGCUGUAAUGUACACCAUUGAUAAAAACAGAAUUGGU